GAUCACAGACAACUUCUGGAAUUUUAUUGGAAUGGAACUGAGUAGGUGCAUUGGAUGGGUGCCCCAGACGUUGGUGCCAAAGAUGGGAGGUGUGGUGAACAUGAUGAGCUAAAUGUGGAUUUUGGGUAGCAUUGAGGUAGUAGACCCCAUUAAAAUGCUUGCCCAUGCCAAUCGUCCUCCCUUUGUUCACGUCCUUCAC
rnacentral:lncRNA from 1 species